UUUCUUUUCUCUCUAUUUCCAACCUUUCCUUCAUUUCCAGUUCUGCUUGUUUUAAUUUAAAUUCAUCUUCUUUUCUUUUCUCCAUCUCCUUCAUUUCCAAUUCUUUUAGUUUGAGUUCAUGUUCUAAUUCAAGCUGUUUUAAUUUAAAGGCGUCAAUAUUUUUUCGACCUUAAGUUCAAGAGCCUCUUCACCUAAAAUUUCUGCGUCAACUAAUUUGUCUAUAACCAAAUUUUUUAUAAUUUGUUUUCUCAUAGAUACUUUAAAAACUAAUUUCAGUUCUUUAGCAAGCAACACUAAUUCCUCUUUCUUUAAAUUAUCAAAACUCUCCAGGUCUGGCGUUUUCAAAAAUUUACCAGCAUCAAAUGCCAUUUUGUAGAAUUUUGUUGGCUAGUUAUAAUAAAAAUAUUGAAUAAAUUUUGAAUAAAAUAUUUUUAAGCUCCCGGACGAGCCCCCAAUUUCUGUUACGGCCAGAAAUCGCCUUUAAAUUGUAGCCAAC
rnacentral:lncRNA from 1 species